rnacentral:rRNA from 1 species
ACGAACGCUGGCGGCGCGCUUAACACAUGCAAGUCGAACGGAAAGGCCUGCUUUCCCUUGUGGAUUGCGGGUACUCGAGUGGCGAACGGGUGAGUAACACGUGAGUGAUCUGCCCCCAACUUGGGUAUAAGCCUGGGAAACUGGGUCUAAUUCCCGAUAGGACUGCAGGGUGGUGCCUGUGGUGGAAAACGAUUUUCUAGUGGUUGGGGAUGAGCUCGCGGCCUAUCAGCUUGUUGGUGGGGUAAUGGCCUACCAAGGCGGCGACGGGUAGCCGGCCUGAGAGGGUGGACGGCCACAUUGGGACUGAGAUACAGCCCAGACUCCUACGGGAGGCAGCAGUGGGGAAUAUUGCACAAUGGGCGGAAGCCUGAUGCAGCGACGCCGCGUGGGGGAUGACGGCCUUCGGGUUGUAAACUCCUUUCGACCGCGAGGAAGCCACCUGGUUGGAAGGGUGGUGACGGUAGUGGUAGAAGAAGCACCGGCUAACUACGUG